UUGCACUCAUUGGAAACGACAGGACUUGGUCAAUCUUGGAAUCAAAUGUACUGGAUGAGGUCCAGUUGGAUGUGCCACUGCUGCCAGUCGUCCUUGAUGUCCAGGAUGCUGCUAUCAUCCUUGAGGAUAUGCCAGAUGUACCGACUAUCCUUGAGGAGGCCACUGGUAAUUGGCAGUUGAUACCGAUUAGGUUCAGCCCCCUGUACUGUGGGCCUGUUGUGAUCAGAG